GGAAAGUGUAGGAGAUUCUGUGGGCAACAUUUCCAACUGUGAUGUUUGAACUCCAACCUAUAGGGAUGUGGAGAAACGAAAACAGUCGUAUUGAAAACUGCAUUUCUACAGUCGGGAAGGAUGCUGAUCGACCAUGGAGAGUCCGAGGAGUAUACAUGAGCCUGAUGCAGAGAAAAUGAGUAAGAAAGCUUAGUGAAAUGAUAUGUGGUAAAUUGGAAAUAAGCAUAUGAUGUCGAACUCUCACCAUACUCAUCAAUUGGAGCAUCAUAGUCAUA